rnacentral:rRNA from 1 species
AAUCGACGCUGGCGGCGUGCCUAACACAUGCAAGUCGAACGAGAAAGGGACCUCGGUCCUGAGUACAGUGGCGCACGGGUGAGUAACACGUGACUAACCUACCCUUGAGUGGGGGAUAACUUCGGGAAACCGAGGCUAAUACCGCAUAAUACCUACGGGUCAAAGGAUUUAUUCGCUUAAGGAGGGGGUCGCGGCAGAUUAGUUAGUUGGCGGGGUAAUGGCCCACCAAGACAGUGAUCUGUAUCCGGCCUGAGAGGGCGCACGGACACACUGGAACUGAAACACGGUCCAGACUCCUACGGGAGGCGGCAGUGGGGAAUUUUGCGCAAUGGGGGAAACCCUGACGCAGCAACGCCGCGUGGAGGAUGAAGUCCUUUGGGACGUAAACUCCUUUCGAUCGGGACGAUAAUGACGGUACCGAGAGAAGAAGCCCCGGCUAACUUCGUGCCAGCCGCCGCCGUAAAAC